rnacentral:rRNA from 1 species
UACAGAGGUCUCAAGCGUUGUUCGGAAUUACUGGGCGUAAAGGGCUCGUAGGCGGCCAACUAAGUCAGACGUGAAAUCCCUCGGCUUAACCGGAGAACUGCGUCUGAUACUGGAUGGCUUGAGUUUGGGAGAGGGAUGCGGAAUUCCAGGUGUAGAGGUGAAAUUCGUAGAUAUUCGCAAGAACACCAGUGGCGAAGGCGGCUCACUGGCCCGGUACUGACGCUGAGGUGCGAAAGCGUGGGGAGCAAACAGG